rnacentral:rRNA from 1 species
AUUGAACGCUGGCGGUAUGCUUAACACAUGCAAGUCGAACGGUAACAGGAGAGAGCUUGCUCUCUUGCUGACGAGUGGCGGACGGGUGAGUAACGCGUAAGAAUCUGCCUAGUAGUGGGGGACAACUACCGGAAACGGUAGCUAAUACCGCAUACGCCCUACGGGGGAAAGUGGGGGACCUUCGGGCCUCACGCUAUUAGAUGAGCUUGCGUUAGAUUAGCUAGUUGGUGAGGUAAUGGCUCACCAAGGCGACGAUCUAUAGCUGGUUUGAGAGAACGAUCAGCCACACUGGGACUGAGACACGGCCCAG